GUAAGUAAACAUUAUGAAAACAAAAAAUUAUGGCGGUACUUUAAGCUUUUCAGAGGAAUUUGCUCUUUAAUGGAUAAAACACCUAAAUCUUACUAAAAUUAGUUAAAGUCAGUUUGUAUACCACUAUUAAAGUAAUAAUUAUAAUUAUUACUUUAAUUUUAUUCUUUUCUUUAAAAUUUAAAUUAAGUCAUGGUGCAGCAAAAAUUUUAGGAUGAAGUGAAUUACAUCUCUUUUUAGAAAAAUAUAAAUUAAAAAUUAAAUUAGGAUUUGAAAGUAAAAAUGCAAUAUAAUGGUAUUUUGAAUAAAGNUCUGAAGUAUGUAC
rnacentral:rRNA from 1 species